rnacentral:misc_RNA from 1 species
GAUGAAGAACGUAGCGAAAUGCGAUAAGUAGUGUGAAUUGCAGAAUUCAGUGAAUCAUCGAAUCUUUGAACGCACAUUGCGCCCCUUGGUAUUCCAUGGGGCAUGCCUGUUCGAGCGUCAUUUGUACCUUCAAGCUCUGCUUGGUGUUGGGUGAUUGUCUAUCUUUUUAGACUCGCCUUAAAGUCAUUGGCAGCCGGCAUAUUGGCCUGGGAGCGCAGCACAAGUCGCGCUUCUUGUCAUGAAUGUUGGCGUCCAGUAAGUCUACAUAUUUUGCUCUUGACCUCGGAUCAGGUAGGGAUACCCGCUGAACUUAAGCAUAUCAAUAAGCGGGA